UUCUCUCUCCUUCCUCUGUGUUUUUCCUUCGAUCCUCUUCAUCUUCUUCGAUCUUCUCCCUCUAAUCCUCUUCCACCAAAUCCCAUCCUCCAUUCUAAACCCUAAAUAUUUCAUCUCUCUUUCACCGCACACACACAGUCUCUCUCCUCCGCCUCUCGCCGUCGCCAUCACCAUCACCAUCACCAUCACCGAUUGAUCUUUUGGAGAUUCGGCUUUAUUUGGAUGAUCAGUUCAACCAAUUGCAGGAAUUAGCUGACGAGAGUUGCCCAGAUUUUGUUAUUGAAGUUGUAACCCUUUUCUUUCAAGAUUAUGAAAAGCUCCUUGACAUAACUCUUGAGGAGCCAGUGUAGAUUUCAAUCAAGUGGCAAAUCAUGCUCAUCAGUUAAAAGGGAGUAGUUCUAGAAGCUGAAAAAUGGCCCAGCAAAGAAGGAAGAAUGUUACUGAUAUUAAUCUCUCUUAUAACCCCAGCAAAGAAGGAAGAAGGAAGAAUGUUAAGUUUAUUAAUCUCUCUUAUAACCCCAGCAAAGAAGGAAGAAGGAAGAAUGUUAAGUUUUGUUUUAGCAAAGAAGGAAGAAUGUUAAGUUUAUUAAUCUCUCUUGAUUUUUACAGAUUUUGGGGAUUAUUUUUGUGAUUUAGGUUUUCUUCGCAUUAUUGAAUGAACUUACUAAUUUGAUGUAUAAUUUUUUUAAGAUGAACUUUGUGAACAAUUUGUAU